UCGGGACCUCUGGGAGAGUAGUCAGUGCUCUUAACCGCUGAGCCAUCUCUCCAGCCCCAGACCACAGUCUUAAACCCACCCUGUGUACUUGAUGCCCGUUCCCGUGGGUCUGCUUCAAGCCCAGGCCCUUCUCUUGGAGCUGCGUGGCCUCAGUCUUGCCUGUGUUGUCCCACGCCUGAUCUUGAAGUAGUUUGGGCCUCCUGUGUCACAUUCCCGCGGAAUACAUAUUGGACAGCCCAGGGGAAGAGACCCCACGUCUCCUGCUUUCAUCAUGAACAGAGCUCGGCAGAGAACCCUUCGCUGCUCCAGCUGAGCGGAAGCUGCAGAAGCUGCGGUCUUGACAGACCACCCAGAUGGCUUGGAUAAUUUGAUAAUGCUUGGGGGGAAGCUGCACAAAGGAAAGGCCUUCACCCACACAUUAAGUGCUGACCUAGGCUAGACCUGCCUCUGCCCGGAAAGUGAGUCAUUGUGGGUUUCUGUGGUAUUCCGCGGCACUGAGGCAAACACAUGUCCCGGCCAAGCCCUAGUGACACAGGGUCUCCCUAGCACCCUGCCCAGUACUGAGCCUGUGAUUGCGCUACCCCAGUCUCCUGGAGUUGUGGCAUUACAAACAUGUCCAGUCUCCCACAACCCACGUCUCUGCUGCCAGAACAGUGACAAAACACACAUAUGUACUAAAGAGUGUCCGGAACCUCUAUCAGGGGCACAGAAGGCGGAGAAUGGAGCUGACUGCUGCAUCUAACCCCAGCUACAAGUAUCAUUGAACAAGAACAGCCCCACCCAGACCACCUUGGAUCUUGGAAGUCUGGACCUUGGGAACUACGAGGAACCAGUUUCUGUUCAUUGUGAACUACCCCUUCUCUGAUCUGCCGUGGCUCAGACUACUUCAGCACGUUCAGGGGCUGAAACUUCAGCCUCGCCCUUGGGUUGAUCACCAAUGGCUCAGAGCAAAUCAAUCCUGCUUAAGAAAAUGGAGCCUCCAAGAAAAUCCAGUCUAAGACCAUCAGACCAUCUAAGGAGCCGGGCAAGUGAAGAUGCAUAGGAGGUUAUCAGCAACAUGCCCCAGACCACCCACCUCCCCAUGUUCCUCUGCCAUGUUCUGUAUUCCUUGUAAUACCCAUUCUUUUUAUUUAUUUAUUUAUCUAUGUAUUUAUUGAGUCGAGACAUGGUUUCAAAUAUCCCAGACUUGCUUCAAACUUGUAUGUAGCCAUAAAAAACUUCGAACUUCA